AGAGAUGCCAGUGCAGCUGCUAGCUAGAAGGGAAAUUGGGCAACAACAAACUGGACGUCUUAGAUGGCUCACAGAUGUGCACUGGAAAGUCUCUCACUGGAAAUUAAAAGAGACAGAUUGAAGAGCUGAAAAAAAGCCCAUUACAAAAAACACAGCUUGGAAGGAGACAGAGUUCUUACCAGCCACACUUCUGCGGUGCUGACAAAUUGUGCUCAAGAAAUCCACUUCUUCUUCCAGAAAAUUCACACCACUUGCUCUAUUUUAUGAGGGGUGUUUCUGAGCCUCGGGUGAGUGCGAACAGCUGCAGGUCUGUCUGUCUGGGCAAGGCCUGAGGAUCGCUAUGGGAAGUGACAGCCCCUCAGAAACACACCUGAGAGCGGCUGCGACUCCAGCCCAGCACUGGGAUGGCACCCAGGAGGACGGCCAUCUCGGGGCGGCCCAGCACCUCAGCAUCCCUCCUCAUCCCUGCUGUCUCCCCAAGCGCUGGCGGGGCCAAAACCUCCAGGCCUCUGUCACAGCUUCCCUCUUCUCUCCUCUCUGCUGACGUAACCUGGCAUUUUUUGCUUUCAAAUCCUGCCGUGUGAUGAAAAUGAAACAUUUAAGAGGAGCGUGAAAUUAAAUGUGGCCUCCAGCUAGGGCUCCCCAGGAAUGCUUCUCAAAGUGCAUUAUUCAUUUUCAUCUUUAAUUCAUUCUGAAAUGCCAUUUGUGGAUCCUGAGACAUGUUCAGGGCUGGAGCAGCACAGAAUUAUGAGUUCUUUACCACAGGGCCUACGGGACCCACAUCAUCUUCUGCCUCUUGGGCACACACCUGGGUGCCCACUGCUUAGCAGCUUGGGUCUGUGGUCUGGAACCCAAGGUCUGCCCGGUGCUCCUUGGUUUCCUUUUCCAGAAGGGCAGAGCACAACACCAAAGUCUUUGGGAGCUAAGCUUUGGAGUUGUAAGUAUUGUUUAAUGAUGGAUAUUGUGAGAAAUAAGUAUUUCUCAAAAUACGUACUCCAAGUUUUUGAAUAUUUUUACCUCAUUUACCUCUGUUUUAUCAAAUUUGAUCUACUUUAACUUAAUCUAGCUCAGUUUGCUGUCAUUGCUGUCCCCUCCACCAAAGAGAGGAUGUUGUGAACAGAAACUGAUGAGGCACUCCCAGGCAACAGAGAUGAGCACCGCUGAUAAUAAAGCAACAAGGAAAAAGCAGUUCCUCCUCUAUGGUGGGGCUUUAGCAGCAUGCAGUAAGUAGGAUGUAAAUUUGCAUGUAGGACAGUCAGAGGAAAACCAAUCUGGCCUCACUGCUCACUCAGUAGAUUAGUACUACACAUUUCAUACAGUGAAUGAGGCAAAGACUUUGGAAAAAGCAAAUAUAUGAUCAGGUUGUUAUCAGUAUGCAAAAGAGACCAAAUUAAAGCGGUACAGGACUCCCUAAUCCUGGUGUUUCCUAUCUUUGGCUGCUUGACCUUGCAGCCUUACUGUUCUUUGAACACAGAUUGUGGGUUAUAAACCAGUAUUUAUAGUACAGGAAUACCCUCAUUUCCCCCCCAAGACAAGAUGUACUGAGGCAGUGCAGCACAGACGCAGCAUCUGAU
ensembl:lncRNA